rnacentral:lncRNA from 1 species
GAAAAAUACCUUCAAUGUUGUGCAGAACUUGAUCUCUCUUGCUUUAAUUCGUGCUUGAUCUUGCUUAUGGAGCUUGCAGAAGUGGAUUACGAAUGGUGCAAAGCUUUGGAUUCUGGAGUUCAUGAAUCUCCAAACAGUGAGAUUCAAACUCAAAUUUCAAGAGAAAUUUAUCAGGUUUUCCUAUGAAUUGUGAGGGUUUCAAUGUUUGGAGGCAAAGCUGGCGCGCAAGGUCUUCAAAAUAUGAUGCAAGGGAC